AGUGAACGCUGGCGGUAGGCCUAACACAUGCAAGUCGAACGAGUGGCGGACGGGUGCGGAAUACAUCGGAAUAUACUCUGUCGUCGGGGAUAACGUAGGGAAAAUUACGCUAAUACCGGAUACGAGUGAAUGAGCCGAUGGCGGAUUAGCUAGUUGGCGGGGGAAAGGCCCACAAAGGGGUCGAUCCGUAGCUGGGCUGCGAGGAUGAUCAGCCACAGUGGAACUGAGACACGGUCCAGACUCUGACGGGAGUCAGCAGUGGGGAAGAUUGGACAAUGGGCGCAAGCCUGAUCCAGCCAUACCGCGUGGGUGAAGAAGGCCUUCGGGUUUUAAAGCCCGUUUGUGGGGAAAGCGGUACCCAAAGACUAAGCACCGGCUAACUUCGUGCCAGCAGCCGCGGUAAUUC
rnacentral:rRNA from 1 species